CAAAAUUAAAAAGUGUUCUUCACGAUCUCCCUGGAAAUAAUUCACUCUAUCACUUUGUCCGCAUAUAAUAGGACAUUGUAAACAUGAAACUGCAAAUACGGACCAAAACAAAUCAAAUUUGAAAGCAUGGUUGAUCAUGUUUCAUGCCGACUGUAAGUUCGCUAAAAAGGGGGGUACGGCAUGAAUUUUGCAGCACGUCAAAGACGUCCAUGUACUAAAUCAUUAGAUUGUAAGACAUAUUCACUUUUUAAAACUGUUGACUACUUUAUACCUGGUCUAAUAUAAAUAAAUUCCCAUUUCAUCUGGGAACAAUAUAUAUGUCCCUGAUUUCAUAUAUCAUGUCAUAUGACAUAUGCCAGAUUUCAUGUCUUGGCAAGAAAAUGAAAAAAAAAAAAAAAUAUCUUCUUUGUCCAUCAACCUCAAAAGAAGUAGAAAGCUUAGGGUCCUAUUUUAAACAGGCAUUUUUAUCUAUAAAAAUUAAAUCUUUUAUGAACACAAAUUGAUACAAUUCAAAGGGAAAGCUAUUAUAGGCACUUGUUUCAGACAAUGGGGGUUCACUAUUACUCUUCUUUCCCAUAUAUAAAAAAACAAACCAGAUACAUGUAGCAUCCACAUUGUAAUUAACCAAUCUGACACCCAUUUGAGAGCUUACACAUACAUUUACAUGCCCAGAAACUAACUAAUUUCAGUGGUGAAACCAGAACUUUUCAUAAAGUGGGUGGGGGGGAGAGGUGUAUGGGACAGUCAUGCUUCAGUGAUUCCCUAUUUAAUCAACCAAAUAUUUUCCAACAAGGUCUCAAUAGUCAUGACAGUGGUUCCUGAAUUUAAAUUGAGAAAAAAAGUGGGUUGUGAGUGCCCCCAAAAUGUAUAUAAUUUUAGCUUGCAUUGUACAUGUUGUACAUGUUAUGAUAUUUAUGUACACUAUAAUAAUAUAAUUGAAUAUAAAAAUGUUAACGAAAGGAUUGUUAACACAUAAAUCUGCUCCAUGUUAUGAUGUUUAACAGUGUUAUACCUAAAAAAUAAUUUUUCAAGACUUGGAAAUAUUUUCUUUGCCCAUUGUUGCCUGUAACUAUUAUGUAUUGAGCAAAAUGCUGGAGGCAUAAUUAUUUAUCAUACUUAGUAAAAACAUGUAUUUUCUCGGUAAUUCAUAUGGCAAAUUUGUGUAAAUGUGUUGAUAAUAACAAUGCAAAGUUUGAUUUUGCUUUGAAUAUUUUAGUAUAUAAUUAAUUUAGUAAUUGUAUGUACAUUUGCUUUAUAUUUACAGGAUGGAGAAAGAUGUUCACUAUGAACAAAAAUUCAAACAUAGGACUUUUAUAUAUCAACAAAAAACACUUGUACAUGUGUAUGUGUGAUAUAUACAUACAACAAGAAAACAGGAAUCAAAUGGAAUGUCAACGACCAGUAAUGUUGAAAGCAAAAUGAUUUUAAUAGAAAACAAUAGGACUAGAAUAUAUUAAAG
rnacentral:lncRNA from 1 species